rnacentral:misc_RNA from 1 species
GAUGAAGAACGCAGCGAAAUGCGAUAAGUAAUGCGAAUUGCAGAAUUUCCGUGAGUCAUCGAAUCUUUGAACGCACAUUGCGCCCACUGGUAUUCCGGUGGGCAAGCCUGUUCGAGCGUCAUUAUCCUCCCUCAAACCUCUGUGUUUGGUGUUGGGCCGCGUUGGCGUCACAGCCAACUGGUCUCAAAGACAAUGACGGCGUCCGUGGGACCCUCUUCGCAACGAGCAUCUUCGGAAGCACGCGUCGAGUCUAAAGGACCUUCCGGGCCGGUCUACCCUUUAUCUUUCUAAGGUUGACCUCGGAUCAGGUAGGAAUACCCGCUGAACUUAAGCAUAUCAAUAAGCGGAGGA